CAGCAAUGCAGUCCUUGACCGCAGCGUCAGCAUUGGCUGCACAGCCAAACACAACAGUCUUGAAUCUGGGAUCCAAAAGUGUAGCCUUAGCCAAGGUCCUCAAGGAUUCCACUGUUCCAAAACGUUUCUUAAGAGAGCUCAACUGUGGCAUGGUUAAAGGCUGAAAGGGCUUGAAGACACUGUGCGAUUGCUUCAAACUGUCCACUGUUCAAGGGUGUCACAUUGGUGUUUAAGGAUGUUAGAGCAGCACCAACUGCUUCACGUUCUUCAUAUAUUCUUUGGAGCAUGAAAAAUGUGCUGUUCCACCUUGUUUCCACCUCUUGAAUCAGUUUCUUCUUCGGUCUGCCCAUCUGCUGCUGAAUUGCUGACAGUUUCUCAGUGGCAUUUGUGCUGCAUCUAAAGAAGGUAACAACUCUUCUGCAGUGAUCUCGAAUGGCACUAAGAUCUGCUGUUUGAGAGAGGGCAUUUUUUACAACCAGAUUUAAGGUGUGUGCAAAGCAAGGAAUAUGUCUAAUCUGAAGCAGAUUAGCACACAGUGUCAUGUUCGAGGCAUGGUCUGUGAUGAGACAUGUCACUUUGUCUCUUAUUCCCCAGGACUCCAGCAAAAUGGACUUUGCUUCUUUGAUGUGCUCUGCUGUGUGGGUUUCAGGAAACUUCAAAACUCCCAGCACAACACUACACAACUUCUCUUCAUUGAUAUAAUGGCAUGUUACUGCAAGCAACCAUGUUUUUCAGUCCAUGCCUUGAU